rnacentral:rRNA from 1 species
UACGUAGGGGGCGAGCGUUGUCCGGAUUUAUUGGGCGUAAAGAGCUCGUAGGCGGCUUGGCAAGUCGGGUGUGAAACCUCCAGGCUCAACCUGGAGACGCCACUCGAUACUGCUAUGGCUAGAGUCCGGUAGGGGACCACGGAAUUCCUGGUGUAGCGGUGAAAAUGCGCAGAUAUCAGGAGGAACACCGGUGGCGAAGGCGGGUCUCUGGGCCGUAACUGACGCUGAGGAGCGAAAGCGUGGGGAGCGAACAGG